UCCAUAAAGCAUGGUGCUGGCAUCCUAAGGCCUCCUGGCUACAUCACAACAGAGAAGAGAAACAGAGAAGUAGAGAAGGAGCCAGCUGCAUGCGGAAGAGUCCAAGCACAUGUGGUGUUCUUACUUUAUGACAGACAGUUCUGAUGAGAACUAAUCCAUUCAAAUGGGACCUGACCCACUCUUGUGAGAAGAGACCAAGCUGUCAGCACCUGGUUUUCUGUGGAAUAAAUUAUGUCCAAAUUGUAGCUGUGCCUUUAUAAAGGAGGCCCAAUGGAGCUUGCUGUCCUGUCCACCUUGAGGACACAGCCAGAAAGUGGCACCUACCAGGAAGCAGACCACCACAAGACACCAGCCUGGGCCUUGAUCAUGAGCUUCCCAGCCUCUCAAACUGUUCCAUAGUUGCAUUUGUUCCAUGCUGAGCAGGAAGAGUUUCCUCUUAAAGGUUUACUUGAAGGAACAGAACUCAACUUUCUGAGCUGAGCUUUGUGUGUGUGUUUCUGCUUGCCUGCUUUUCUGUCACCAGAUCGCUCUGGGAGCGGUGACGCUCUUAAUUAAGCUGAGAUCUGAGGUGCUUAAAAUGCAGAAUUCACAGGCAAGCUGGCUGAUGCCUGAGGCUGAGAAAAGAUGCUCUCAACUUUUAAAAACCUAGAUCUGUCACAGUGAAAAAUUCCCUUCAUUUCAAUGGGGGUGGCUCACAGGACCAAAAAUGAGAACCACUUGAGCUUAGAUGGAGUCAGGCUCCUCCACCUCUCUCCCUCGCCAGCAUCGGGAGUGAGAGCUGCCUUCUGCAGAGAGAAGACAUACAGGGGCUCUCUGUGAACCACCUCUGAAGAUGUGAGGGGAGCCCCAGUUUCAUGAAAGAAUGAGUGAGUGAGCUUAUGAAGGAAUCCCCAAGCAAGACAAUGCUGGUUGUUAUAAAGGACAAGAGACCAGAAGCCCAGAUUUGGGUCAGAGACUACAAGCACAUGAUGGGAGUUUGAAGCCUGUCCAGGACCUUUAAUACUCACCUCCAGUUCCUGAAUGUGCUAUUCUUGCAACUGCCCUUGGACCAUUCAUUCAGGACACUUGGCAAAGGACUGAGGACUCUCAGAUGUGGUCCCUUUGUGGAAUUCUGCCCACCUCAACCCCCAGACAAACCCACUUCACAGCUGGGCAGGCAUCUAUCCUGCUGGUGAUGAGGCAGUGGGUGGAUCCCACAUUCGCAAUUUCAGGGGUUACAGGUGGUGUUUUGAAGGUGAGAGAUUCUACAAAGAAGUCUGGGCAGGAAGAUGACGGGGCGGACAGACAUCAGCAGGAUCACAAAGCCUCUUCCCAAUUUUGAAUUCAAGGGAUCCUGUGUUAGGAGUUAAAAACAGCCUACCAACUGUUCCUUAAAACAAUUGAAAAUUUCUCAUUUUGGCCGGUUGAGGUGAAGGUGAGUUUUAUUCCUGACUACCUCUAUAAUAGCAGAAAACUCAUAUCUUUUAAAUAGGAGCAUAAGGAACACAGGAGUCUUGAGGCUCGGAAAUUCACUUUCUCAUCUUCAGUUGGGACCUACACACAAAUUCUGUCUUUUACAUCUUGUAAGAAAAUUCUUUUUUAAAAGCUGAUGAAAAACACACCCUUAAAUGACCUUAGAGUCAGCAUUUUAUA